rnacentral:rRNA from 1 species
UACGAAGGGGGCUAGCGUUGCUCGGAAUUACUGGGCGUAAAGGGCGCGUAGGCGGAUGUCUAAGUUGGGGGUGAAAUCCCGGGGCUCAACCUCGGAACCGCCUUCAAUACUGGAUAUCUUGAGUUCGGGAGAGGUGAGUGGAAUGCCGAGUGUAGAGGUGAAAUUCGUAGAUAUUCGGCGGAACACCAGUGGCGAAGGCGACUCACUGGCCCGAUACUGACGCUGAGGCGCGAAAGCGUGGGAGCAACAGG